UACGGAGGGUGCGAGCGUUGUCCGGAAUCACUGGGCGUAAAGGGCGCGUAGGUGGCCGAGCAAGGUCGCGGUGAAAGCCCGGGGCUCAACCCCGGGUCGGCCGUGGCAACUACUGGGCUGGAGCACUGUAGGGGUAGAUGGAAUUCCGGGUGUAGCGGUGGAAUGCGUAGAGAUGGGGGAGAACACUCGUGGCGAAGGCGGCCAGCUAGACCAGUUCUGACACUGAGGCGCGACAGCGUGGGGAGCAAACAGG
rnacentral:rRNA from 1 species